UUAGUAUUCCCUCCGUCCAAAAAUACUUGUCAUCAAAAUGGAGAAAAAGAGAUGUAUCUAGAACUAAAAUACGUCUAGAUACAUCCCCUUUUAUCCAUUUUGAUUACAAGUAUUUCCGAACGGAGGAAGUAUCAU
rfam:Triticum aestivum genome assembly, contig: Triticum_aestivum_CS42_TGACv1_scaffold_350198_4DL